rnacentral:snoRNA from 1 species
AACCCAUGAUUUGGGCAUUUUUCUAAGUAUCAUUUUAAAUCUUUCCCAUGUCUCACAGAAUGAUUAAUCUGUUCCUUGUCUGAACACAGAAAUUUCAGACUUUGCUU